rnacentral:lncRNA from 1 species
AUGGGAAGUGUCACAGUUCAAUAUUUCUGUUAUGGGUACAUUUUUACAUCUGUGACCUGUGCAGUUUUGGUUUUUGUUCAUUUCAACUUCGGUGAAGUGACUCAGCCACUUAAGAAAUGUGCUCAAGGGGCCUGGACCCCAUGGACCAUUUCCAAAACAAUUCUAUUCCUGAUUCACUCAAGGUCCAAGUCUAUUACUAGAGCCACAGUUCGAAGCAAACAAAAUUGAUGAUGUGAUGGUCAUAUUGAAGAUCCAGAAAAAGGCCACUUGAAAUUGUCUUCUGAACUAGGCAUGAUUUUUAAUUAACGUGCUCAGGAGUUGAGAGACGGGCUAUCAGAAAUGUGCUUUUAAUAUGCUUAUCAGUAACUGCAGGCUACCACAGAGAUGUGCCAGGGACAAAGAAUACAGCAUGUAAAGUCCUACCUCCUGACCUGCCAGUUGCUUACAUAAUUGUUAUCUGUUUCCACAAUGAAGCUUUUUCUGCCCUGUCUCCAGAUGCUGCACAUUGUCACAAAUUGCAUGCCAGCAAACCUGCUUCAUGAAAUCAUCUUUAUGGAUGUUGUUAGCGACCUUGAUGACUUGAAAGGAGGACGAGAUGAAUAUGUCCAAAAAUACCUCCUUGGAAAAAUUAAGGUAUAAGAAACAUAAAGUGUGAGGGAUUGAUUCAAGGAAGAAUGAGUGUAGCAGUCCACACAACAGAAGUCCUUGUGUUCCUAGACAGCCAAUUGAAGUGAAUGUGAUGUGGCAGCAGCCCUUGCUGGCUGUCAUCUGUGUGGACUAGCAGACCAUGAUGUUCUCAGUGAUUGAUAUCAUUAGUGCCAACACGCUAGCCUACAGCUCAUCCUCUGUUGUCCGUGGAGGAUUCAACUGAGGGCUGCACUUCAAAUAGGAGCUUGUUCCCCUUUCUGAGCUAGGAUGAGCAGAAAAAGCCACAGCACCAACAAAGUCACCGAUAAUGGCUGGAGGAUUGUUUGCCAGGAACAGACAGUAUUUCCAGGAACUUGGACAGUAUGAUACUGGCAUGGAUAUCUGGAGAGGAGAAAACUUGGAAAUAACAUUUCAGAUCUGGGUGUGUGGAGGUAAGUUCUUCAUCAUGCCUUGCUCUACAGUAGGACACAUUUUCCAAAAAAAGGGGACCAUAUGGAUCUCCUGAAGGCCGGGAUGCCAUGAACACAACUUUUUGCAGCUGGCACAUGUCUGGCUGGAUGAAUAAAGGCGCAGUAUUUUUCCUUAAGACUUAAUCUGGAGAGGAAAAGCUUUGGAACCAUCAGUGAGCAUGUUGAAUUGAGAAAGAAGUUAGGAUGCAAAUCAUUUGAAUGGUAUUUGGGUAAUAUUUACCCAAAGAUGCAGAUAUCUGGGACCCAUGACAAAUCCCAGCAACCCACUUUUAUCAGUAGAGGGCCAAAAUGCCCCAAAGUCCUUCAACUUGGAAGGCUCUAUCACCUCCAGACCAACAAAUGUCUGGUGGCUCAGGGCUGCCCAAGUUGGAAAGGAGGCCUACUAGUGCUUAAGACUUGUGAGCAUGGGGACCCAAAUCAGAUCUGGAUUUAUAAUGAAGAGCAUGAAUUGGUUUUAAACCAUCUUCUUUGUCUAGGUAUGACAGAAACUAGCUCAUCAGACCCACCACAACUCGUGGAGUGCCAUGGGUCAGGCAGACAUGGACCUUUGGGGAAAAUAAUUGGCUACACCAGACGUCAGCUGGACAGUGCCUGAGAGCAGUGGCUCCACAGGGUCAGGAAGACUCUGUGGCUAUGGCAAUCUGUGAUGGCUCCUCCUCACAACAGUGGCAGUUGGAAG